rnacentral:rRNA from 1 species
GUGUACGUACAAGCAGUGGGAGCACAGGUUUACCUGUGUGACUGCGUACCUUUUGUAUAAUGGGUCAGCGACUUAUAUUCUGUAGCAAGGUUAACCGUAUAGGGGAGCCGUAGGGAAACCGAGUCUUAACCGGGCGUUAAGUUGCAGGGUAUAGACCCGAAACCCGGUGAUCUAGCCAUGGGCAGGUUGAAGGUUGGGUAACACUAACUGGAGGACCGAACCGACUAAUGUUGAAAAAUUAGCGGAUGACCUGUGGCUGGGGGUGAAAGGCCAAUCAAACCGGGAGAUAGCUGGUUCUCCCCGAAAGCUAUUUAGGUAGCGCCUCGUGAACUCAUCUCCGGGGGUAGAGCACUGUUUCGGCUAGGGGGCCAUCCCGGCUUACCAACCCGAUGCAAACUGCGAAUACCGGAGAAUGUUAUCACGGGAGACACACGGCGGGUGCUAACGUCCGUCGUGAAGAGGGAAACAACCCAGACCGCCAGCUAAGGUCCCAAAGUCAUGGUUAAGUGGGAAACGAUGUGGGAAGGCCCAGACAGCCAGGAUGUUGGCUUAGAAGCAGCCAUCAUUUAAAGAAAGCGUAAUAGCUCACUGGUCGAGUCGGCCUGCGCGGAAGAUGUAACGGGGCUAAACCAUGCACCGAAGCUGCGGCAGCGACGCUCAGGCGUUGUUGGGUAGGGGAGCGUUCUGUAAGCCUGUGAAGGUGGCCUGUGAGGGUUGCUGGAGGUAUCAGAAGUGCGAAUGCUGACAUAAGUAACGAUAAAGCGGGUGAAAAGCCCGCUCGCCGGAAGACCAAGGGUUCCUGUCCAACGUUAAUCGGGGCAGGGUGAGUCGACCCCUAAGGCGAGGCCGAAAGGCGUAGUCGAUGGGAAACGGGUUAAUAUUCCCGUACUUGGUGUUACUGCGAAGGGGGGACGGAGAAGGCUAUGUUGGCCGGGCGACGGUUGUCCCGGUUUAAGCGUGUAGGUGUGUGUUCCAGGUAAAUCCGGUUCACUUUAACACUGAGGCGUGACGACGAGGCACUACGGUGCUGAAGCAACAAAUGCCCUGCUUCCAGGAAAAGCCUCUAAGCAUCAGGUAACAUCAAAUCGUACCCCAAACCGACACAGGUGGUCAGGUAGAGAAUACCAAGGCGCUUGAGAGAACUCGGGUGAAGGAACUAGGCAAAAUGGUGCCGUAACUUCGGGAGAAGGCACGCUGACACGUAGGUGAAGUGAUUUACUCAUGGAGCUGAAGUCAGUCGAAGAUACCAGCUGGCUGCAACUGUUUAUUAAAAACACAGCACUGUGCAAACACGAAAGUGGACGUAUACGGUGUGACGCCUGCCCGGUGCCGGAAGGUUAAUUGAUGGGGUCAGCGCAAGCGAAGCUCCUGAUCGAAGCCCCGGUAAACGGCGGCCGUAACUAUAACGGUCCUAAGGUAGCGAAAUUCCUUGUCGGGUAAGUUCCGACCUGCACGAAUGGCGUAAUGAUGGCCAGGCUGUCUCCACCCGAGACUCAGUGAAAUUGAACUCGCUGUGAAGAUGCAGUGUACCCGCGGCAAGACGGAAAGACCCCGUGAACCUUUACUAUAGCUUGACACUGAACAUUGAGCCUUGAUGUGUAGGAUAGGUGGGAGGCUUUGAAGCGUGGACGCCAGUCUGCGUGGAGCCGACCUUGAAAUACCACCCUUUAAUGUUUGAUGUUCUAACGUGGACCCGUUA